rnacentral:misc_RNA from 1 species
UCCCGAACAGGCCUAUAAUGUCGUAGCAUAUGGUUACCAAAGCGGUAAGGUAUGGUGUAGCGACUGACUACCGCCCCUUACACUUAAGCAACUAAGAUGCAAGGCGAGACGACGCCUUAACAGCUUAAACAAAACUUAAAACAGCAGCUUAGGGCAAUAGAUAUGAAGAAAAAGCGACGUUUUUCAGACAACUUGGCCAUAAGACGGACACCAUACAGACAUAAGACGAGGUGUCUGCUAUGGCAUCGCGCACGCAGCAGUUUGGCGCUUAAGCGAUGCCAACGCAAUGCUUUAAUAACACUGUCAUCGCGUAUAGGUAUGCAAGAAUUGAUGAAUGCCGAAACAAUCAUGAAUGUAGUGUUUUUGGAUAUUGAUGGUUGGAAAAAAGAUCAAAAGGUCCUGAAAGGGCAUCAUGUUUGGUUUAUUAUAGGUUUUUUAUUUCACAGUGCAGCUAACUCAAUUCCUGAGAUGUAUCUUUGUGAUGCUGAUGGGCAUUUGCACUUGGACUAUUUUAUUCAAAGCACUUGUAUUAAUAAUAAAUUUUUAGACAUUGUACCAUUAAAGCACUGUUAUGGUCAGAAAUGUCAACCAUCGCUGCAAAGCACUAUAUAUACAGCACACCAAGUCAUCCGCAUCGUUUGAACUUCAAAUAAGUUUACUUUCUAAUUUUGUUUGUUAGCUUUUGUGUUGAAUUGGUUAGAUAAGUUUUUAGGAUUUGGCUAUAAAGCCAGGGACAUUGAUCAUCCAGAUUAAUCAGAAGAUUGAGUUAUCUGUCUGCUUAUCACUUCUUAACUCUCGCUCUCUGCCACACACAGCACAGCUCCUGGCCACCAGGGAUUCAAGCCCUGGCCACCAGCCACCCACUGCUACAACCUAUGCAAUGCCCCAUGUCCUAUCAAGGACUACAAAAAAGACUAGAAAUGAAUAGUGUCAAAAAAUGUACAUGGAUUCAUUUUGUUUGGAAGAAUAAAAUUCCUUGUAGAAAUGCAACAAAAAACAUAUGGAAUAAAAAAA